UACGAAGGGGGCUAGCGUUGCUCGGAAUCACUGGGCGUAAGCGCACGUAGGCGGCUUCUUAAGUCAGGGGUGAAAUCCUGGAGCUCAACUCCAGAACUGCCUUUGAUACUGAGAAGCUUGAGUCCGGGAGAGGUGAGUGGAACUGCGAGUGUAGAGGUGAAAUUCGUAGAUAUUCGCAAGAACACCAGUGGCGAAGGCGAGUCCCUGGACGAUACCUGACACUGAGGCACGAAAGCCAAGGGAGCAAACAGG
rnacentral:rRNA from 1 species